rnacentral:rRNA from 1 species
GCUUAAAGAUGAGCUUGCGCCACAUUAGUUUGUUGGUGGGGUAAUGGCCUACCAAGACGAUGAUGUGUAGCUGGACUGAGAGGUCGAACAGCCACAUUGGGACUGAGACACGGCCCAAACUCCUACGGGAGGCAGCAGUAGGGAAUUUUCGGCAAUGGAGGAAACUCUGACCGAGCAACGCCGCGUGAACGAUGAAGUAUUUCGGUAUGUAAAGUUCUUUUAUUGAAGAAGAAAAAAUAGUGGAAAAACUAUCUUGACGUUAUUCAAUGAAUAAGCCCCGGCUAACUAUGUGCCAGCAGCCGCGGUAAGACAUAGGGGGCGAGCGUUAUCCGGAAUUAUUGGGCGUAAAGGGUGCGUAGGCGGUUAGGAAAGUCUAUAAUUUAAUUUCAGUGCUUAACGCUGUCUUGUUAUAGAAACUACCUUGACUAGAGUUAGAUAGAGGCAAGCGGAAUUCCAUGUGUAGCGGUAAAAUGUGUAAAUAUAUGGAGGAACACCAGAAGCGUAGGCGGCUUGCUGGGUCUUGACUGACGCUGAGGCACGAAAGCGUGGGUAGCAAACAGGAUUAGAUACCCUGGUAGUCCACGCCGUAAACGAUGAGUACUAAGUGUCGGGAUAAAACUCGGUACUGAAGUUAACACAUUAAGUACUCCGCCUGAGUAGUACGUACGCAAGUAUGAAACUUAAAGGAAUUGACGGGACUCCGCACAAGCGGUGGAUCAUGUUGUUUAAUUCGAAGAUACACGAAAAAUCUUACCAGGUCUUGACAUGCUCUGCAAAGCUAUAGAAAUAUAGUGGAGGUUAUCAGGGACACAGGUGGUGCAUGGUUGUCGUCAGUUCGUGUCGUGAGAUGUUAGGUUAAGUCCUAAAACGAGCGCAACCCUUGUCGUUAGUUACCAGCACGUAAUGGUGGGCACUUUAACGAGACUGCCAAUUAAACAUUGGAGGAAGGUGAGGAUUACGUCAAAUCAUCAUGCCCCUUAUGAUCUGGGCUACAAACGUGAUACAAUGGCUGUUACAAAGAGUAGCUGAAGCGCUAGUUUUUAGCCAAUCUCAAAAAAGCAGUCUCAGUUCGGAUUGAAGUCUGUAACUCGACUUCAUGAAGU